rnacentral:lncRNA from 1 species
CCUAGAUGCUUUCAGUUUUAACUAUUCACCAAUGGUGGAGAAGGCAGAAUGCCUAAGCUAUGUCUGGGCGGCCAAUAGGAUAGCUGGGUAUCUCCCACAUGACUCGCUGCCCCUGUCUUUCACAUGGGCUGUAAUUUAGUUCAAUUCAGAACUGCAGAUAGUACAGCUUUCACAGGAGCAGGGGAUGCCUGAGCACAAGUGGCUGAGUUCCGAGUGACUUUAGGAAGCACUUUCCUCCCUCCCUCCUGCCUGAGAACGGGGAUUCUGCACCUGCAUCAGGGACAGUCUGGCAAAAGCCUCUGCCAUGCCUCGGGGGACAAGGAACUAGCACAAAUAACCGUUUUGAAAUUGGAUCUUGGCAAAAUUAACGACAAAUCCAUAAAGGAAACCGAAGGCAGUUUGAGCUUCAUCUUCGAUGACAAUCCCACCAAAGUUGAAGAAAUAUGUUACGUCUCUAAAGAAGAGCAUGGCUGUGCCCUAAAGUUAGGACGUGAUGGUGAUACUUACAGACACUGGAAAGUCAGCAGAAUUCUGAGUCUGAGGGUUGCUUCAGUGAACAUUCAACGCUGUCGGUGAGUUUGGAAUUAAAAUCAAAACCAUCGACCGUUGAUUGUGCCCUGUGGCUAGCCAUCCUCUCCUCCAUGGCUUCCAGAACUCUCUGAAGACAGGAAACCAAAGCAGGACACACCAGGAUGUUCUCUUCCCCCUGCAGAGAUUAUUUUAAGAAGGUCACAAUCAACAUUCAUUGCUGUCGGUGGGUUGAACUGUGCGGACAAGCUCACUGGACAAUGAAUGCAACUGUGGCCCCGCUUUUUGCAGUCACAACGAAGGGAUAGUCCAUCUUGGAAAGAUGUAUUGAAAGUGGUAAAUAUCAUUCUUUAGCCCUCCAAUCUGCAGAGUCUUCAGGCUUCUGUAUCCAAUUUUUAUCAUAUGAUCAGAUUUGGAUGAAAAAGGCACUCGUUUAGACAAGAAUAAUACUUAUUUACAUUUCUGCAUGUUAUACACAGAGCACUUUUUUAGUAGGUAAACUAUUUAUUCAUGGAAUCUAUACAUAACCAUCUAAGAUGACACAGCUUCCUACUGUUGCUGCGUCAGUGAGAAAGAAGACAGGAAGCAGCACCUCAGCACCCAGCUCACUGGGACCCACGCCCUUCGAAUCAUAACAACAGCACUUACCAAUUC